rnacentral:rRNA from 1 species
AUGAAAAUCACAGAGUCCGGCAAUCUGGUUCUCUUCAACCACAAGAACUUGCCAGUCUGGCAGUCCUUCGAUCACCCAACUGACACUAUGCUUCCCCGGCAGCCAUUAAUGGAAGGGAUGAAGCUGACGCCCAGCAUCGACAACGUCAGCUUUGCUGCCAGCAAUCAGUUCUAUCUAGCCGUCCAUCAAUAUGGUCUGCACGCGUCUGUAGGGUCAAUACAGCACCAGAUCUACUACGAAUACAACCAAGCAGGACAUUUCACCUACGAUGAACACACAUACAUCGCGCUCCUCAAUGGGAGCAUGUCCGUCUUUGCCACCUCCUCCCUGCCUACAGACUCAAUCAAUAACGCUGGGAUCGACCUGCCUCAUGCGCGCUCACUCCAGUACAUGAGGUUCGAGUCUGACGGACAUCUCAGGCUGUAUGAGUGGAAUCAAAGGUACUCGCAGUGGUCAUUCGUGCAGGACAUCUUCGAACUAGAUUACUGCAUGUACCCAACUGUCUGUGGAGAGUAUGGGAUCUGCAGGAAUGGGCAGUGCAUCUGCCCGAUUGGGGCCGGUGAUACCUUAUACUUCAAGCAGGCUGACAUCUGGAAUCCUGGCCUUGGCUGCAUUCCAGUGCGCCCAAUUUCUUCUUGUCACUCUGUUCCAGCUGAGCAAGAUCACCAGCUCGUAGCUCUCUCUGAUGUUUCCUACUUCAGCUUCAGUGACCCCGAUGCUGUGAUAAUAAGUGAUGAAGAGAGCUGCAAGCAAGCCUGCUCGAGAAAUUGCUCUUGCAAGGCUGCAUUUCACAGUUCCCUAAAUGGUCCCAGCGAAUCUUGUUUAUUGGUCUCUGAGGUCCUCUCAAUGCAGGGAUACGAGACAGACUCAACAGCGUACCUGAAAGUGUACACCAACCAUUCAUUGCCUCCUCAAAAUUCAUCUGCUUCUGCGAAGAAAAGAAAAGGGGCUGUAACUUACAAAAUAGCUGGUGCUAGUGCUGCCGCAGUCGUAUUUUCUAGUAUUGUCAUUGUUGUCGUUAGAUGGAUACGUAAUCAAAGGAAAGAUGAUGAUGAAGAAGAGUUUUGUGAAGUGCCAGGAAUGCCAACAAGGUUCACUUUUGACUUGCUGAGAGGAGCAACAGAUGACUUCAGCAGAAAGCUAGGGGAAGGGGGAUCUGGGUCAGUUUAUGAUGGACAGCUUGGCGAUGAGAGGGUUGCAGUAAAGCUUUUGGACAGACAUGCUCACAGACAGAAAGAAUUCUCUGCAGAAGUUCAGACAAUUGGCAGCAUCCAUCACAUCAAUCUGGUUAAAAUGAUUGGGUUCUGUGCGGAUAAAAGAAACAGGCUCUUGGUUUUUGAGUACAUGUCUGGAGGAUCACUGGACAAGUGGAUCUAUUCCAAUAAAUCGGGUAACAAUGCCCCUCUUGGUUGGUGCAUAAGGCGUAGGAUCAUCACUGAUAUUGCCAGGGGCUUACACUACCUUCACGAAGGGUGCAGGCAGCGAAUUGCUCAUCUAGAUAUUAAACCACAGAAUAUCCUCUUAGAUGAUAAGUUCAAUGCCAAAGUUGCAGACUUUGGGUUAUCCAAACUGAUAGAUAGGGAUGAGAGUCGUGUGGUGACACGAAUGAGAGGAACACCUGGAUACAUGGCACCAGAAUGGCUGACAUCAAAAAUCACUGAGAAGGUGGAUGUCUACAGUUUUGGUAUUGUGGUCAUUGAAAUCUUAAGUGGAAGAAAGAACAUCGACUACUCUCAGCCCGAUGAGGGUGCUCAGCUCAUUAUGGUACUACGAGAGAAGGCAAUGAAUUCUCAACUGGAAGAUAUGAUCGACCAGAACAGCCAAGAUAUGCGCUCAUGCAACAAGGAGGAAGUGAUUGAGAUCAUGAGGCUUGCAAUGUGGUGCUUGCAGAGUGACAGCAACAGAAGGCCUUCCAUGUCAGUGGUGGUGAAGGUGUGA